rnacentral:rRNA from 1 species
UUUCCCUCUUUCUUCCUUCUUUACACAUGCAAGUCGCACGGCAGCGCGGGCUUCGGCCUGGCGGCGAGUGGCGAACGGGUGAGUAAUACAUCGGAACGUGCCCAGUAGUGGGGGAUAGCUCGGCGAAAGCCGGAUUAAUACCGCAUAAGACCUGAGGGUGAAAGCGGGGGAUCUUCGGACCUCGCGCUAUUGGAGCGGCCGAUGGCAGAUUGCUAGUUGGUGGGGUAAAGGCCUACCAAGGCGACGAUCUGUAGCUGGUCUGAGAGGACGACCAGCCACACUGGGACUGAGACACGGCCCAGACUCCUACGGGAGGCAGCAGUGGGGAAUUUUGGACAAUGGGCGAAAGCCUGAUCCAGCAAUGCCGCGUGUGUGAUGAAGGCCUUCGGGUUGUAAAGCACUUUUGGCGGGAACGAAAAGGACUGUGCCAAUACCACGGUUCGAUGACGGUACCCGCAGAAUAAGCACCGGCUAACUACGUG